UAAGGAAUAUUGGUCAAUGGAGGCAACUCUGGACCAGCCAUGCCGCGUGCAGGAAGAAGGCCCUAUGGGUCGUAAACUGCUUUUGAACAAGAGAAAACCCCGGUACGUGUACUGGGUUGAUAGUAUUGUUAGAAUAAGCAUCGGCUAACUUCGUGCCAGCAGCCGCGGUAAGACGAAGGAUGCAAGCGUUAUCCGGAUUCAUUGGGUUUAAAGGUGCGUAGGCGGACUGAUAAGUCAGUGGUGAAAUCUCUCGGCUUAACCGAGAAACUGCCAUUGAUACUGUUAGUCUAGAGUACAGAUGAUGUGGGCGGAAUAUGACAUGUAGUGGUGAAAUACUUAGAUAUGUCAUAGAACACCGAUUGCGAAGGCAGCUCACAAAACUGUAACUGACGCUGAGGCACGAAAGUGCGGGGAUCAAACAGGAUUAGAUACCCACGUAGUCCCUGAGCGGGCUGGCAAGGCGCAU
rnacentral:rRNA from 1 species